rnacentral:rRNA from 1 species
AUUGAACGCUGGCGGCACGCCUUACACAUGCAAGUCGAACGGUAACAGGGAGCUUGCUCCGCUGACGAGUGGCGAACGGGUGAGUAAUGUAUCGGAACGUACCUUUCAGUGGGGGAUAACGUAGCGAAAGUUACGCUAAUACCGCAUAUUCUGUGAGCAGGAAAGCAGGGGAUUGCAAGACCUUGCGCUGAUUGAGCGGCCGAUAUCAGAUAAGCUAGUUGGUGAGGUAAAGGCUCACCAGGGCGACGAUCUGGAGCGGGUCUGAGAGGAUGAUCCGCCACACUGGAACGGAGACACGGUCCAGACUCCUACGGGAGGCAGCAGUGGGGAAUUUUGGACAAUGGGGGCAACCCUGAUCCAGCCAUGCCGCGUGAGUGAAGAAGGCCUUCGGGUUGUAAAGCUCUUUCGGCCGGAAAGAAAUCGCAUGGGUUAAUACCCUAUGCGGAUGACGGUACCGGCAUAAGAAGCACCGGCUAACUACGUGCCAGCAGCCGCCGUAA